GGCGGCGUGCCUAAUACAUGCAAGUCGAACGCACUCUCGUUUAGAUUGAAGGAGCUUGCUCCUGAUUGAUAACAUUUGAGUGAGUGGCGGACGGGUGAGUAACACGUGGGUAACCUGCCCUAAAGUGGGGAUAACAUUUGGAAACAGAUGCUAAUACCGCAUAAAACCUAACACCGCAUGGUGUAGGGUUGAAAGAUGGUUUCGGCUAUCACUUUAGGAUGGACCCGCGGUGCAUUAGUUAGUUGGUGAGGUAAAGGCUCACCAAGACCGUGAUGCAUAGCCGACCUGAGAGGGUAAUCGGCCACACUGGGACUGAGACACGGCCCAGACUCCUACGGGAGGCAGCAGUAGGGAAUCUUCCACAAUGGACGAAAGUCUGAUGGAGCAACGCCGCGUGAGUGAAGAAGGUUUUCGGAUCGUAAAACUCUGUUGUUGGAGAAGAAUGUAUCUGAUAGUAACUGAUCAGGUAGUGACGGUAUCCAACCAGAAAGCCACGGCUAACUACGUG
rnacentral:rRNA from 1 species